rnacentral:rRNA from 1 species
AGAGUUUGAUCAUGGCUCAGGAUGAACGCUGGCGGCGUGCCUAAUACACGCAAGUCGAGCGAACUGAUUAGAAGCUUGCUUCUAUGACGUUAGCGGCGGACGGGUGAGUAACACGUGGGCAACCUGCCUGUAAGACUGGGAUAACUUCGGGAAACCGAAGCUAAUACCGGAUAGGAUCUUCUCCUUCAUGGGAGAUGAUUGAAAGAUGGUUUCGGCUAUCACUUACAGAUGGGCCCGCGGUGCAUUAGCUAGUUGGUGAGGUAACGGCUCACCAAGGCAACGAUGCAUAGCCGACCUGAGAGGGUGAUCGGCCACACUGGGACUGAGACACGGCCCAGACUCCUACGGGAGGCAGCAGUAGGGAAUCUUCCGCAAUGGACGAAAGUCUGACGGAGCAACGCCGCGUGAGUGAUGAAGGCUUUCGGGUCGUAAAACUCUGUUGUCAGGGAAGAACAAGUACAAGAGUAACUGCUCGUACCUUGACGGUACCUAGCCAGAAAGCCACGGCUAACUACGUGCCAGCAGCCGCGGUAAUACGUAGGUGGCAAGCGUUAUCCGGAAUUAUUGGGCGUAAAGCGCGCGCAGGCGGUUUCUUAAGUCUGAUGUGAAAGCCC